GACGAACGCUGGCGGCGUGCUUAACACAUGCAAGUCGAACGGAAAGGCCCUGCUUUUGUGGGGUGCUCGAGUGGCGAACGGGUGAGUAACACGUGAGUAACCUGCCCUUGACUUUGGUAUAACUUCAGGAAACUGGGGCUAAUACCGUAUAGGAGCUCCUGCUGCAUGGUGGGGGUUGGAAAGUUUCGGCGGUUGGGGAUGGACUCGCGGCUUAUCAGCUUGUUGGUGGGGUAGUGGCUUACCAAGGCUUUGACGGGUAGCCGGCCUUAGAGGGUGACCGGCCACAUUGGGACUGAGAUACGGCCCAGACUCCUACGGGAGGCAGCAGUGGGGAAUAUUGCACAAUGGGCGGAAGCCUGAUGAAGCAACGCCGCGUGCGGGAUGACGGCCUUCGGGUUGUAAACCGCUUUCGCCUGUGACGAAGCGUGAGUGACGGUAAUGGGUAAAGAAGCACCGGCUAACUACGUG
rnacentral:rRNA from 1 species